rnacentral:rRNA from 1 species
GGUGAGGUAAUGGCCCACCAAACCUAUAACCGGUACGGGCUCUGAGAGGAGAAGCCCGGAGAUGGGCACUGAGACAAGGGCCCAGGCCCUAUGGGGCGCAGCAGGCGCGAAAACUCUGCAAUGGGCGAAAGCCUGACAGGGUUACUCUGAGUGAUUUCCGCUAAGGAGAUCUUUUGGCAGCUCUAAAAAUGGUGCAGAAUAAGGGGUGGGCAAGUCUGGUGUCAGCCGCCGCGGUAAUACCAGCACCCCGAGUGGUCGGGACGAUUAUUGGGCCUAAAGCAUCCGUAGCCGGUUGUGCAAGUCCUCCGUUAAAUCCAGCCGCUCAACGGAUGGGCUGCGGAGGAUUACUACAGAACGAGGAGGCGGGAGAGGCAAGCGGUACUUAGAGGGUAGGGGUAAAAUCCUUUGAUCCAUUGAAAGA